AGGCGGGCCGAGCAGCCCUGGAGGAAGGUGCGGCCGCUCUCGCCGCCAAAGGCGCGGCGCGCGGGGCGAGGGGCAGCUGCGGCCGCCGGAGGCUUAGCGCCCGCGGGGCACGAAGUGGCUCCGGCAACUUCUCCAACUCGACCGGCGCCGCCCCGCGUGCCCCCGGGACUCCCGCGGGAACGGCCGUGUCGCGGGCGGGGAGCCCGGGCGGGUGCCGGGCGCUCCACCCAGGUUUCCUCCUUUCUGGCUUCCAUGCUGAAGAAGUGGUUUUUCAAACGAGGGCACUGAGAAAGAAGGAGGCACCCAGUUUUUGCUCUUUUUUUUUCCUGGCAUGUGGAUUUAUUUUCAGAUCGGCAUUCCUUUCCACUUUGUUCAAGAUGUCUGGAUUUGACUUGGAUUUUCUUGCAGCCACUUCAGGAAAUGGACUUUAGAGGAAAAUCUGAGCCUGGGGGUGAGGUGGGGGGGUUGGAACUCCGCUUGAGAUGCUGUCUGUACCUGGCACCUGGCUCUCUUUAAGCCAAGUCUCAGCCUGGAGCCGGAUCGGAGGUGCCAUGCUCUGCUAAGAUGCAGAGGGUUGACGGGUCCAUGUGAGGAGCCUUUAUGGUUAGAAGCAAAAAGGAUUCUAUGAAAAUUUGCAGCUGAGCAGCCAAGGGUGUGUCUUACCAUAAUGAACUCUUGUCUUUUUCACCGACUUCCGUCCAAGUCUGCCCCGUCGGUGCGUGGGGUCAAGUGCAGGUGGGGGUCGUACCUGUGUGUUCUCUGCUGCUUUGGCAGCUGUGAUGUGUUAGGUGGCCUCUUGGCCCCAAACCACCUGGAAGUGAAUGGUCUUAAGGGGCCAAGCAAAGAUGAAGAAAGAUUUGAGGUUGGAUAAGGCAGAUGUUACCCAUCAGGCUUCGGAGACCUUUGCUGUGGGGAGAAUUCUUAUUUCUGGACGCGCUGGGCAAUAACGAGACUUGGCCAGCCUGCCUUGCCGGAGGAGCCCCUCGGAAACGUGAAUGUUUUCGUGCUGUUGUUCAUCGCUGGACAUCCGAACCGAAGCCUUAGAUUGCCCUGCUCCGUAGACCGCUUACUGAGAUGCGGAUCAGUGGUGUGUGUGGUAACUUCUCUGGCCUCACUCUUCUUCAUCUGAGAGAUGAUGGGAUUGGAGAGUUUCCGAGACUCUCCAUCAUCAGCACCACCAUGAUCGAGUUGAUGUUGUAGCAGUUGCGACGCCAUCAUCUCAUUUAACUCUGCAGUUCCCCAGUGUGUCCCCUCUUGACGGCGAGUGGGGAGGUGGGGGCACAGGGCGUGGGCUCAGCCAGGGCGAGGGAUUAAGCAUCAGAGCUGAGUUUUGACCCCAGCCUGAUUCCAGAGCACUUGCUCUUUGGUCUGUGCCAUGCCCUUGUUACCUACAGCUUCCCAGUUCUGGGGAAAGGACUUAGCCCUUUUCUCUGGUAAGAGAUAAGUAAUUGAAGAACAAAAGUAGACUGUACAUUUCUUUUCUGAGAAUUGAGAGCCAUCUAAAAUAAUGACUCUUUUAUUUUCUAUGAGAUUUUUUUUAAAUCUCAAACUCCUAAUUUAUCCCUCCCCCCUUUGGUAACGAUAAGUUUAUUUUCUUUGUCUGUUAGUCUUUUUCUGUUUGAGAAAUGAGUUCAUUUGCAUAUAUAUAUUAUAUAUGUAGGAGUCCACAUAUAAACAAUAUCAUAUGUCUUUCUCUGAUUUAACCUCACUUAUUAUGAUAAUCUCUAGGUCUAUCCAUGUGGCUACAAAUGGCAUUAUUUCAUUUUUUUUAUGGCUGAGCAGUAUUCCAUGGUAUGUAUAGCCACCACAUCUUCUUGAUCCAUUCCUCUGUUGAUGGAUAUUUACUUAUUUAUUUAUUUGUUUGUUCUUGUUUUUAGGGCCACGCCCAUGGCAUAUGGAAGUUUCCAGGCUAGAGGUCCCGUUGGAGCUGUAGCUGCCGGCAUAUGCUACAGCCACGGCAACACCAGAUCUGAGCUGCAUCUGUAACCUCUACCACAGCUCAUGGCAAUGCUGGAUCCUUAACCCACUGAGCAAGGACAGGGAUGGAACCUGUGUCCUCAUGGAUACUAGUUGAAUCUGCCACCACUGAGCCGUGACAGGAACUCCCAGUGGACAUUUAGUUAGGUGGCUUCCAUGUCUUGGCAGUUGUAAAUAAUGCUGCAGUGAACAUUGGGGUGCAUGUAUUUUUUGCAUUGUGGUUUUCUCUGGAAAAAUGCCUAGAAGUGGAAUUGCUGGAUCAUAUGGUAGCUCUAUUUUUAGUUUUUUAAGGAACUGCUUUUCUAACUGUAAGAUUUAAGUACUGAUUAUCUGAACCAGAGACUCUAAGAGCUCAUAGACAUGAAGCAACAUGAUAUAAUUUUUUUAAAUCUCAUAGAAUUUUCAGGCCACAAAUGUCCUGGAAGACACUGUGCUUUUUUUUUUUUUUAAAGUGUUAUAAGACCUGGGUUUAGAAAUUGUCCCUAGGUGGCACAUGGACAAGUUAUAAGUUAUGUUUGAUCACUUUAAUAUUUUUGCUUUAUAGGAAAAGACAAUCCUAUCCCUAAAUUGCUGUUACAUUGAUGUCUUCAGGGGUGGGAUCUCAUGAAUUUGCUAUUAUAGUAGACCAAAACCUAUAUAUAGGGACACUCAAAUUAAAUGUGGUGUAAAUCCAUGUCCUUAAAAAAAGAAAGCAAUUACUACUUUUGAAAGCCAAGCUAUAAAAAGUAAGUGAAAUCCGAGGAGCACCAAGACAGGAUUUCGUUUUACUAAGCAAAUGGGCCCUGCCCUUCUUUUCCCUUUCGAACCCUGCAGGGGCAGAGCGGAGAAUACAAAUGCUGCGAAAGUAGGAUCUUAGACAUUCAUAGGUGGCUGACCGUUGGAGCUCUUCCUUGUUGGCACUGGCCCUGCUGAUUAAGAGAUGAUCUGAAAGGGCGACAGGCUCACACUCUGAGCUCGUACUUUGUUAAAAGUCAUUUGAAUUAUCGAGCACCCCACAGAGCUUCUUUGAAAGAAGGCGUUUAUUUUGUUGGUGAUUCUUUUACUAAGUAUCAUUGAUUUACAGUAGGGUUUUUUUUUAUUAGAGUUGAUUUAUGAUGUUGUGCCCAUUUCUGCUGUACAGCAAAGUGACCCAGUCACAUACAAUCCCUUUCUCAUAUCAUCUUCCAUCAGGUUCCAUCCCGAGAGACUGGACAGAGUUCCCGUGCUGUACAGCAGGACCUCAUUGCUUGUCCAUUUUAAAUGUAAUAAAGUAUAGUUGAUUUACA
ensembl:lncRNA